GAAAACGGUGAUGCUUAAACAGUUCAGAUCUGUCAAGGAUGACACUCAAACAUCUGCAGAUGAAGAUUUGAUUUCAGAAUGCAGCUCAGUUCAUCAUAAGAGAUCAGAACCAGAGCCCAACUGUGUGUCUAUGAAGAGUGACAAAUCUAUGGGUCCACCAUUACAAUUUAAGUGUGGAGAUACACAACCUGGUCUCAGCUCAGUUCAUCAAAAGAGAUCAGAACCAGAGCCCAGAUGUGUGUCUAUGAAGAGUGACAAAUCUAUGGGUCCACCAUUACAAUUUACGAGUGGAGAUACACAACCUGUUCUCAGCUCAGUUCAUCAUAAGAGAUCAGAACCAGAGCCCAGAUGUGUGUCUAUGAAGAGUGACAAAUCUAUGGGUCCACCAUUACAAUUUACGAGUGGAGAUACACAACCUGUUCUCAGCUCAGUUCAUCAUAAGAGAUCAGAACCAGAGCUCAGAUAUGUGUCUAUGAAGAGUGACAAAUCUAUGGGUCCACCAUUACAAUUUACGAGUGGAGAUACACAACCUGUUCUCAGCUCAGUUCAUCAUAAGAGAUCAGAACCAGAGCCCAGAUGUGUGUCUAUGAAGAGUGACAAAUCUAUGGGUCCACCAUUACAAUUUAUGAGUGGAGAUACACAACCUGUUCUCAGCUGACAGGAGUGGCACAUGCUGCUGUAGCCCAUCUGAUUCAAGGUUGAACAUGUUCUGCGUUCAGAGAUGCUCUUCCUUGGAUGAGGCUGCCUUUGUACUUCAGACUGAAUUGCCUAGCAACGUUUAUGAUGGCUGGUGUUUAUUUUGUUGUUGUUGUUUCUGAAGUCCUGGAGCUGAUGUCUCCAAAAACACAGAGGCAAAUUUUCAAAUAGAGGCUCAGUUCAUCAUAAGAGAUCAGAACCAGAGCCCAGAUGUGUGUCUAUGAAGAGUGACAAAUCUAUGGGUCCACCAUUACAAUUUACGAGUGGAGAUACACAACCUG